GACGUAGGGCGCGAGCGUUGUCCGGAUUUAUUGGGCGUAAAGAGCGUGUAGGCGGCCCGGUAAGUCCGCUGUGAAAGUCAAAGGCUCAACCUUUGAAUGUCAGCGGAUACUGCCGGGCUAGAGUCCGGAAGAGGCGAGUGGAACUCCUGGUGUAGCGGUGGAAUGCGCAGAUAUCAGGAGGAACACCGGUGGCGAAGGCGGGUCUCUGGGCCGAUAUUGACGCUGAGGAGCGAAAGCGUGGGGAGCGAACAGG
rnacentral:rRNA from 1 species